CGCCACCAUUCUCCACCUCGGCGCCAUCCCGUCACCACACCCCGGCGGCUAGCUCCGCCAUCGGCCGACGCCUACCUUCGCCACCAGCCGACGGCUAGAUCCGCCAUCCGCUGACGCUGGAGAAGACAACUCCAGCCUUCAGGUAUCACUUUGGAUGUUAAAACCUUUUGUUUUUGUUGUGUAUUUUGGUUCUAAUCCGCCAUCCCCUUCAUGCUGAUUGUGUUAGAUGUAGUUAAUCCUAGCUGAGAUUAACUGUGGUGAUAUUUCUCUGUAUUUUUCUUAGACUACAUUUUUUAGAAAUCACUGAAACAACUUGCUAUAUUUUGCUUAGGCUAAAUAUCGAGAAAUUACUUACAGAAAAAUGUCCGUAAUUUAUGACCAGAGAAGAGUUUGAAAUAAUUUUAUCCGAUUCGAAGUAAAAUAUCAGCAACUUAGAACAAGUAAUUUGGUCUGAUGUGGAUGAAGCAUCUAGCACUUGUACAAAUUAAUGGAGGGUAAUAAUAGUAAGUCCACGCCCAUCUAGUCAGAUCAAUUUGCUAUUGAAGAGUGACACUGUUGAAUUAAGAGAUCAUUUUCCUUGUGCUACUAUACAUGAACAUGACCAAGAUACAACAAGCAGUGUCUCUCAGAUUGUUGCUUGCCCACAGAUAUGCAGAAGAACAAUCGACACAGUUGACAUAUAUAUGUGCACAGAUAGGAAAUUAAUGUCCCCUAACUUAAGUACCUUUCAGAUCCAAUGUGUAUGGUAUGCAUCUGCUCCAGGCCACCUUCAGGGUUGCUGUUUUUGCAAUGGUGAAACUGUGGCAGCGUGUCAACAACGACAUUUAUAUUUGUUGUUGCCUGUUCUUCAGAGAAAAUGGGAAGCAAUCUAUAUUACAAGUUGCUUACUGAAAUUCCAUGUGGAACAUAAAUAGCUUUGCAUGUAAGAAUUUUUCAGAUGUUGUUUAGCAUUGUUAUGAAUAGUCUGUUUCCCAAAAUCAUGAGUUCUUGUUACUUGACAAAACUUUGGCAUUCAUGCUCAUGUACACAAGGAUAAUAAUGGAUAAAGUAUACUAAGAAAUGGACAAGGUUAUCAUUAUAUAUUGCAUAGACAAAUAUUUGUAACAAUGCGCACCACCAAUGCAGUUCCACUAUUUUGCUUAUAACUGAGUACUUACAGAGCUAUAACCCGCUGUCUUGCUAGAACAUAGGAACUCCCCUGGAAGAGUAUUGGCAGGCACAAGGUCCUGCAAAAAGAAACCGUGUGCCAAUUUAGAGGAUAUUUGUUAAUUAUUCCUACAAAACUGGAGCUAAUAAACUCCACUGCUACAUAUUCACUGUACUCUUACCACAAAUGUUUUAUAUGGUGUCACAUUUUAUAACACAACUGAUGAGUGCAACUCUGUUCCAUCAGCCAGAGCUACCUACAGAUUCUCAAUCCUGUAAGUGAUAGAAAGAAAUGAAUUGCACAAUAGACAUAAUUACAAAUCUCGGAUCAUGGACUUGCUAAUUCUUUAUUCUUAGAAUUAGCUUACCUUCUCAAAUCGACUUGCUGAAUGUUUAUGUUGUGCAUUUCCUAUGGAACAUAUAUGUUUUUUAUCUUGGAAAAUCCACGAUACUCUUUGUACCAUAGACUUGUUGUAUUUACGCACGAUGAAUGCAUCAGCGUGAAGCUACAAGCUAUGAUGGUACAUGAUGUCCCUGAUCUUUCUGUUCCAAAACUGGAAUUUGCAAACAUUUGACUAGAACUUGUUUGAUACUUUGCAGCACAACCCAUGGGAGCAGACAUCACUUCGCGAUUAAAUAAUGGAUGAGAAAUGCCUUUAUUCGUGUGCUAUAUGAAACUGGUUACAUUAUUGUAGACUUUUGGUACAGCUUGUACAACUAGUUGCCGCUGUGUUGCAGCUAGCGCCUCUUGUCCUUUUUCUUUUUUCUGUAACAUGCACAAGAGUGUUGUUAGUUUCGUGAGUGUGACUACUGGCCUGGGAGACCGACGAAGUGAAAGAGGGCGUUGGCUGCUUCCUGAAUAUUGUUGUCUAGUUUCUCAUCCUGUACAAUAGUUUAGCUUCUUUUGAUUGUAGCCUGGUUUCUAUUUUGCUUGUUGUAAGCUGGCCCAGUUUGGAAAUUCCACGAAACUAUUUGUACUAGUAUAUUUCUGUGUUGGAUGAAGCUGGAAGCAUUAACACAAAGUAAGCACCUGCUGACGACACACGAUGGACAGAAAGUACACUCUCAGUUCAAACUUGCUGGUUGAUACUCCCAAAAUAGAUUGGGAACUAAUUCUUAUCAAUGGUAUAUUCUUUUAGAAAUG
rnacentral:lncRNA from 1 species